GGCUGAGAAAGUGUCUGAAAGAUAUUUUCCAUCCUCUGUUCACACAGGUCAGAAGAUUUUUGUUCUUGGUUAACAGCUGUUUUUCCCCAUUGUAUUCAUACAUUCUCAGUUUUCUGCUGACAGAUAUUUCUCUUCCCAGAAAUCCCAAAUAGGGGGAAAAAUCUGGCAUUUGUGCAGAAAGCCAUCUCAGCUGCAGAGCUACAAAUGAUUUGGUUAGCUGUUUUGCUGAGAGGAAAGAAGGAACGUCUCAAAGAAUGGAGGUCUGCUCUGAGAAUAAAGAAGUUGAUGAGAAAAGCAAGAAGAACUAAGAAUCUUCUUUGCAAGCCUUUUGAGUUCUGUGUAAGAAUAGAAAGAAACACUGACAUGAAAUCCUGUUCUUCACAUUUCUGGAGAGCAUCCUGCAGAAGUGCAGGGGGAGGCUAGAUCUCCUCUACUUCCUUGUCAAUGAUCUGACCUAUCUUCUUUAGGCCCUGCUGAUUAAAAGAAAGCCAUGGCCUCCCUAAUGAAAGGGUUGAUGAGUUAAGAAGAUACAAAAU
rnacentral:lncRNA from 1 species